rnacentral:lncRNA from 1 species
AUUGUGAAGAGCACAGAAGCUGCAGGUCAAACUCUUGGGCCUCAAACCCAUGCACUUUAUCUGUGGCACUUUUAACAUAUUAAUUACCCUCUCUGAGCCUGUCUUCUCACCUGUAAAAAGGAGGAUAUCCGUUUUUCCUACCUCACAAAGUUAUCUUGAAGACAAAAUGUGUUGCCCCUGCAAAGAAGUCACAGAGUGUCUUGCAGAGGGAGGGAGCACUGUCGAGGAUCCACUCUCACUUCGCUGCAGGCCUCUGCCCAUCCCUCACGCCCCCUGGAUUGUCAUUAUGGGGAGCCCUUCCUCUAGGCUGAGCAUUUCCCCUUCCUGCCAACAACAGUUAAAUUAUCAGUAUCACUCAGAUGGAAAGUUUACGAACAAUUCUCAUUAUGUGUUAAUUUUUGUUUAUGGGAAACAGCCUUGAAGCAGUCUGGGGAGGACAGUGGACAGUGGAACAAGUCGGAGAGGAGCAGAGAAGAGGACAGGGGUGGGUGUGAUCCUACAGUUCCCUCACAGUGCUUCUGUGUCCACAGCGGGGUGAUCUGGGCAUCCUGGGCUUUCAGGUAGAGAACCAGUGCUCCCUGGUAGAGAGGGUGGCAGACAAUGGGUGUGAAGCACACAGAGGAACUGGGAAGGGACUGAGAUCUGAUGGCAUCAAGAUCAGCUGCAGUGCCAGGUGAUGAGUGCCCCCCACCAUGGAAAUGCAGUUCUAACCUGUUUUCUGUUCCCUGUUAAGCAGGUGACUUCAAACCAGUCAUUUUUACUUUCUGGUCCUCAAAGUCCUUGAGGUGCCCAUGGAUGAGCCCCUUCUUGCCUUAUCACAGUUACUUUGAAAAACUGGGGACAAAACAGCUGGAAAAAUACAAUAUCCAUCCAGGGGUUGCAUUUUUGGCAAUGCUAUUACAGGAGCAGCAAUUUUAAGGAAACAGUAAUGGACUGCACUCGCAUAUUGGCAGUGGCUUUUUGCGGGGCGAUGAAGAGCAGAGAGAAACUGUGGAAACAGCAUAGGAGGAAUCAACAUAGGAAGAAUAUCCCAUUCUCUCAUGCCUCUCACUUUGGCUCUGGCUCCAGGCUGUCCAUGUGUGUGUCUACUCUUAAUCUGGGUCUCUGUUCCACAUCUUUCUGCUUGGCUCCCUGUCUUUCUAUCUCUGUUUCUACCUCUCUCCUUCCUUCUUUUCUUUCCUUCCUCCAUUCUCCCCUUCUUCCUUUCAUCCUCCCCUCCCUUAAUUCCUCUCUUUCUCCCNCUUUCCCUUCCUUCCUUCUUCCCCUUUCGUUCUCUCCCCUUUCUCUCUCUUCCUCUAUCUUAUACAACACACACACACACACACACACACACACACACACUCUCACACCAGAUACACACAGAAUCAGUUUUACGUUAGCUUCCUUUCUUUCUCCUUCACAGAAGAUGCUGAGUCCCUUAACAAACAAGACUAAAGAAAACAACAGGGCCCAGGGUAACAAAAAAGGUUCUGCUACUGUAACCUCCAAGUUAAUAGUACUUUGCCUAUUUUGGACAGUAAUUAUGGUGUCCAGGACCUUCAGCACAUUAAUGAGCUGCAGGAGAGCGAGAGAACUGAUGUGUGAUUUCUAGAUGCCAGGGAGACAGGCUGACAGUCCUCAUGGCUGCCUGUGUCCACUCUGUUUAGUUCUGAGCAGGCCAGAGUCCAGUCUCCUGGCAGCUGUGGAGUGUAUAUUACGUUCUGACACUUAUGAUUUCUCCUUGUGAUGUGGACACGCAAGAGCCUUAUGGCUCCAAGUUUAAUUAUUUGUUUCAGAAGCAUCCCCUCCCCAUACCUGCUCAGGCUGCCCAAUGGAGCCCCACACUCAAUCCCAGAGCCCACUUACUAGAGAAUUCUUCCUUGGUUUGUGGUUUGAAGGCCUUGUCCAGGGCCCUGACCUCCUGCAGGUUCUCCUCCUGCACCAACAAUUGGAUGAUCCUCUUGCCCAGGAAGCCUCCUGCUCCUGUCACCAGGCAGCUCCACCCUGUCAUGGUCAGUGCAGCAAGCAGAAUACAAGAAGCAGAUGUGAUGACUGAGGAAUCCCUGGAGAGAGCUAAGGAGAAAUGUCUAUUAGGUACAAACCCACAGAAACUUCAUGUGUUCACUCUAUUCCAAUUUUUGCAAAAUUCUAUAUCCCCAUCCCACCACCAGGAGCCACUGAAAGCUCUAACCUGUAGCUGUUAAAAGGCAGAUGACAAAACACCAAAAAAAAAAAAAAAAAAAAGCAGAUGAAGGAGCCUGGAUGCUGGUGCCCUCAACCUCCCAAGGCAGGACUGGAGCUUUAUGUGCUGUACCCUGUGACUCAGCUCAUUGCUUGAACUUUUGCUACAUUCUCAUUGCUCACUUUUUCUCCAAGAUCCCUCCUUCCCAAAGAGUAAUAACUAAUUUACAUUUUUUCUCCCUGGCACAGGAGAAAAUGUCAGCUUCAAGGUCAUUUGCGAUAAAGACUCUUGGCCUUAGUUCAAAACACUCAUUAUUGUACGUCAUGCAAGCUAUCUGGGAUUCACAGUCUUAGAAGGGGAGAAAAUAUCCCAGUAUAAUGUAAAUUUUGCAUUAUACUUUGUGCAGCAAAUAUAUCUGCAGGAAAAAUUCACUUUAUCCCAUUGUUUUCUUUGUUGGCAUGUCAGUUGAAAUGUUGUAAAUUCAAGAAUUCACAGUUGUGGCAGCUCUAAUCAGUAAGUUAUAUGUGGCAUGAC